UACGGGGGGGGCAAGCGUUGUUCGGAAUUACUGGGCAUAAAGGGCUCGUAGGUGGCCAACUAAGUCGGACGUGAAAUCCCUCGGCUUAACCGGGGAACUGCAUCCGAUACUGGAUGGCUUGAGUUCGGGAGAGGGAUGCGGAAUUCCAGGUGUAGCGGUGAAAUGCGUAGAUAUCUGGAGGAACACCGGUGGCGAAGGCGGCAUCCUGGACCGACACUGACGCUGAGGAGCGAAAGCCAGGGGAGCAAACGGG
rnacentral:rRNA from 1 species